rnacentral:rRNA from 1 species
UGGGGAAUAUUGGACAAUGGGCGAAAGCCUGAUCCAGCCAUGCCGCGUGUGUGAAGAAGGUCUUCGGAUUGUAAAGCACUUUAAGUUGGGAGGAAGGGCAGUAAGCGAAUACCUUGCUGUUUUGACGUUACCGACAGAAUAAGCACCGGCUAACUCUGUGCCAGCAGCCGCGGUAAUACAGAGGGUGCAAGCGUUAAUCGGAAUUACUGGGCGUAAAGCGCGCGUAGGUGGUUCGUUAAGUUGAAUGUGAAAGCCCCGGGCUCAACCUGGGAACUGCAUCCAAAACUGGCGAGCUAGAGUAGGGCAGAGGGUGGUGGAAUUUCCUGUGUAGCGGAGAAAUGCGUAGAUAUAGGAAGGAACACCAGUGACGAAGGCGACCACCUGGGCUCAUACUGACACUGAGGUGCGAAAGCGUGGGGAGCAAACAGG